rnacentral:ribozyme from 11 species
UCACUCACACACAUUGCAAAAACAAAAAAAAAAAUAAAAAGAGCAAAAUCCAUUUUGUCGUCGGUGUCGCCCGGACGCUGUGAGCCUGCUUGACGUGGCUUUUCUUCUUUUGUUUUUUUCAUGUGUCCCGAAAUGCAUUUUGGUGAUCAACAACAGAAAGACAGGUC